rnacentral:misc_RNA from 1 species
GAGUGCGGGCCCUCGCGCCCAACCUCCAACCCUUUGUCGACUCAUAACUGUUGCCUCGGGGGGCGACCCGGACGCGAGCCCGGGAGUCCCCCAGAGGUCCAAUCAAACACCCUGCGUCUUUGCGUCGGAGUAUUGAAUAUAAAUCAAUCAAAACUUUCAACAACGGAUCUCUUGGUUCU